GACGAACGCUGGCGGCGUGCUUAACACAUGCAAGUCGAACGGUGAACCUCUUCGGAGGGGAUCAGUGGCGAACGGGUGAGUAACACGUGGGCAACCUGCCCCCGGCUCUGGGAUAACUCCAAGAAAUUGGGGCUAAUACCGGAUGUUCACCGCUUCCCGCAUGGGUGGUGGUGGAAAGGGUUUCCGGCUGGGGAUGGGCCCGCGGCCUAUCAGCUUGUUGGUGGGGUAGUGGCCUACCAAGGCGACGACGGGUAGCCGGCCUGCGAGGGUGACCGGCCACACUGGGACUGAGACACGGCCCAGACUCCUACGGGAGGCAGCAGUGGGGAAUAUUGCGCAAUGGGCGGAAGCCUGACGCAGCGACGCCGCGUGGGGGAUGACGGCCUUCGGGUUGUAAACCUCUUUCAGCAGGGACGAAGCGCAAGUGACGGUACCUGCAGAAGAAGCACCGGCCAACUACGUG
rnacentral:rRNA from 1 species